rnacentral:lncRNA from 1 species
UAUUUGCAUUCAUUGUGAUUUUAAUACUACUAGGAAUGUAAUUUUGAGAAUGCAAAUUCAUUGGAGUUGUAUUCGAAGAGUUGAUGAAGGAUCAUUGUUUAAUCAUAUAAAUAUUUGCUUUGACUAUUCAAUGUCACAAGUAUGUAUGUAGCUGAUUAUUUGGAUAUAUUGUGAAUGUUACAUAUAUUAUGAUAUUACCAACUUGAAAAACUUUCUUUAACAUAGACAAAAGUUCAAUAAAUGUGAUGAAGAUUAUAGCUUGGAAUGUAUUUCUAAUUAUUAUUGAUAAUAUAAGUAUAUGAAAGUAUU